rnacentral:lncRNA from 13 species
CAGGGACUUCUGUCUAUUUUGUUUAUUGCUGUGUUUAUGUAUCUCCAGCACAUAGAAUAAUACUUGCUGCCUAGGAAGGGUUCAAUACAUUAUUGAAAAAAAUGAACGAUGGAAUAAAACUUUUCUCCAUUAUAAAUUUUCUGAUUAUGUCCUUUGUCACAUUUUCUACUAGGGUUUUUUUCUUUAAUUACUAUAAUUUGCUUUGGUAAAAAUCUUCUUACAUGUUAAAGAUAGUUCUCUGUACAUUAGAUAUAUUGCAAAGAAUCUCAUUCAUUGUCUUUUCAUUUAUUUGAAUUAUUUACAUGUAAAAAAAAUCUUAUUUGUAUUAGGUUAGCCAAUUCAGUCAAUUGUCUUUUAUAACUUCCUCUGAUUAUCAUAUCUACAGAAAGUCCUUCCCGAUUCCAAAGAGCAGUCUGAUCCAAGUUAUUUAAACUGGGGGGCUAGUCCAUCCUCUUCUUCCAAGGCCAGGGCUUCACAGGCAUCUGAUUUAGAAGGUUUCCCUCCCCAACUAAUGCAUCUAACCCCAGGCUUCCUUUCCCUGCUCAAUCUUUUGCAUAAUUACACAGUGAGGUCAUGUGUUUACCCUACCAUUGUUCCAUCGCCAUGGAGAUGAUGAGCGGCAAAGCCCAGGCAAAAGGCCUCCCAUGCAGGACGAAGCCAAGGAAUAAGAUGGAGAAGAGACGAAGGACAGGCCCAUUAGCCAGAGGACCCAAAACAUAUCUCAAGGAGCCCAUGAAGUCAUCCUCAUGCACACAGUUUCCCAGGUGUCAGAUCUGUUUGGUUUUGGGGUACAUGUGAAGAACAUGCAAGAUCGUUACAUAGGCCGUACAGAAAGCAUGGUGUUGGCAUCUGCUUGGCUUCUGGGGAGGCCUCAAGGAGCUUUUACUGAAUGGCAAAAGCAAGCCUUCCAAGACUACCCUGCACCACAGAAGUGUAUUUCCUCUGUCCUGCCACAUUCUUGGGCCUGCCUCCAUCCCAACAAAUCACCUUCUAUCCAGAACACCUAUUUACCUCUUAAUCUCUUUUGCUAGAGGAUGAACUUUCCUGCAUCUUGGAACGAAGACCGAUUCAUCUCUGUUUCCCCAGGGCUUGAUAAAAAGUAGAAACUCAAUUGUUGAUUGUUCAUUGAAUGGGCAAAUGUGAUUAGAGCUGCUCUGUGGGUACCCUGGUGGCCAUAUCUCCUGAGAACUGGUUUCUAGAAAUAACUUUGGAGUCACAAAAUUCAGAAGUAGGUCAUCUCUGGAGCCUCACUGUCAGCAGGCAAUCACUCUGCUUGGAACCUAUGGGCCCUACAAGGUCUAUAUCUGACCCAAACUCCUCUGUUGCUAGUGUUUAAGCCCACUGAUAUCUUCAACGCCCUCCUUAAAAGUCUCU